GGAGGGGAGAGGUCACAGGGCAGAGUAGAUACCAGCUGGGAAAGAACAGAGUCCACUCACACAUGCUGACUGGAACACCCUCAGCCAGGCCCAGAGCUCCUAGGGUGAGCACAAGCCUUUUGGCUUCAAUAUCAAGGACAGAAAGUACUUCCUGAAGAGGAUGAAGAAUCACGGGUGUUGCAGAUAACACUGUGGGUCAUAAAUAAUCAGACUUGUGUCUGUGUGCCAUGAUAUGUGCAGGGAAUUCCAAAGAUGGGCAUUUUUAGUAGAAAGUUUUUACAGGUUGACAGUCCUGCUCAGGGCAAUAAACAGCUCCAGUGAUCAUGAUGACCCCACCUGACAGGAGCAGGCACUGGUGAAACCUCCAAAAUGGACAAGCUGCAUCAGGAAGAUAUUUAAGACAUGAGCUUAAAACAUGAGGAAAAAUAAAUGCUUUCUCUUGCAAAGAAAAUAAGGAGCCAACAUGCAUGGAAAUGUAUUUCCCAUACUGCCUCUCAUCAGGCAUUGGCAGACCUUCAUUUCAAAUGCUGCUUGCUCUCAAGCCAUGAAGAGGAAACAUUUCAAAAUAGGGAAUGAGGAUUAAAUAUGAGCUAAAAACCGACCCAUACCAUGUAAGAGAUGCUAGUGUAUAGUGCGUAAGCUGUUCCUUGAAAUGUCCAGAUUCUUUCAGGAGCCGCACAUAUAUACAGCAUGGGGAACUGCAAGACAAGUGCUAUGAGCAAUGGACUGAAAACAAACUGAAUGAGACAUUACUGGAAGAAAAAGCAAGACUGUACACUAGAAGAAUGAAGGAGAGGGUGACAGCACACCAAGAUACUUCUAGUGCCUCCAACUUAUCAUCCGAAGCAAGAACACACAGAUAACUUCAAUGCCCACCACUGGAAUUAUCGUCUAGUACAUGCUUCCUUCCCCCCUUCCCCACCUCCUCAUCUCCACCCCUGUGGUACAC